AGCGCGUAGACUCAGAGAAAACUUGCGAAGUUUAGGAUGGAGCUGAAGAGACUGGGUUCCGUCCUACGGUGGGAUUUCUUUCCGUGCUCGCGCGUUCAGCCCCAAGUCUCAGGGCCACUCGUCUGGGAAGUUGUAGAAUCUGUAUAGCCAACCUACACAACCUCCAAGGGGCCUUUGGACAGGACCAUCAGCUUUUUCCUUGCCUUCGGACUUGAAUUAAACAUCAUCUCUUCCUUGGCGUCAAGCCUGCUGCCAUCAGACUGGAACUAAACCAUCAGCUCUCAUGGGACUCCAUCUUGCUGACUUAUCCUGCAGAUCUUGGGAUUUAACCGCCUCCAUAAUCACGAAUCCUCCCUCCAGGUCACUGGGAGCUUCAAUUCCUUAGAAGAAAGAAAGAGAUGACUCCUGCUUCAUAGUCCAGGAAAAUCCCCACACACCGUGGAGGCUCUUUAAGGCGGAAGGAGGUCUGCGGGGAUGUGAGAGCUUCAUACUCAUUCCCACGACUCUGUCGCAGAAGCCAGUGUCCAUUGGCAGAAGCAACUAUCACCAUACUAUGAAGUAGCACAAGCCCUUCACCAGAUACAGUCGCCCAAUCUUGGACCAUCCAGCCCCAAGAACCAUGAGCUAAAUAAACCUUUUUCCUUGAUAAAUUA
ensembl:lncRNA ZNF691-DT ZNF691 divergent transcript